UCCUGGGGAGCAUUUCCCAGCGCGGUCCUGGUUGUGUGACACACGGCCACAAAUUCAGAGUCCAGCUGCCCUUCAACCUGGAUGCGAAAAGCAAAGCCACCGUGCUGGCCGCCAGCUUCCUCGUGGAUUAUAUGUAUUUUGAAUUCUGCCCCUAAGAAUGAGUGUCAAAAA